UUCUCUAAUGCCAGCUCUCAAGAUGUUUGCUCUGCUUGCAUAUAUUCUUAUGUCUUGCAUAUCAUGUGUAUCUAUGAUCCCCAGUGUUUUUCAGCCAAAUGUCUCAAUCACAGCAUCAGUGGGUGGUUCGGUCAUCCUGGAAUGCCACACAACUGCUGAUCUGGUUGUGGCCUGGUUUUGGCUAAAACAAAUCCCAGGACAAAAGUUGAACCCUAUAGUUUCUACAUAUUACCAGGAGAUAAAACUUCAAGAGGAAUUUCUCAAUGAAUCAAGACUUCAAUUCAAAGUUGACGACAAGAAAUCUGCAUUAAUAUUCACCAAGAUUAACUCCAGAGAUGCCGCCUAUUAUCAUUGUGGUGUGCUACUGUAUGAGAAGCUGUACUUUGGAGGGGGAACUUAUCUGACAGUUAAUGGUGAGUGGAAACUUAGAAUGUAAGAUCUUUGAUAGUUUAUUUUGAUUAAAAGGCUGGUUUUAUUAUUACUGCUACUGUAAUGUAUAUUAUUUUUCAUUACA